rnacentral:rRNA from 1 species
GCCCAGCUUGUGGGUGGAUUAGUGGCGAACGGGUGAGUAAGACGUGAGUAACCUGCCCCUGACUCUGGGAUAAGCGUUGGAAACGACGUCUAAUACUGGAUAUGACUGCCGGCCGCAUGGUCUGGUGGUGGAAAGAUUUUUUGGUUGGGGAUGGACUCGCGGCCUAUCAGCUUGUUGGUGAGGUAAUGGCUCACCAAGGCGACGACGGGUAGCCGGCCUGAGAGGGUGACCGGCCACACUGGGACUGAGACACGGCCCAGACUCCUACGGGAGGCAGCAGUGGGGAAUAUUGCACAAUGGGCGAAAGCCUGAUGCAGCAACGCCGCGUGAGGGAUGACGGCCUUCGGGUUGUAAACCUCUUUUAGUAGGGAAGAAGCGUAAGUGACGGUACCUGCAGAAAAAGCACCGGCUAACUACGUGCCAGCAGCCGCGGUAAUACGUAGGGUGCAAGCGUUGUCCGGAAUUAUUGGGCGUAAAGAGCUCGUAGGCGGUUUGUCGCGUCUGCUGUGAAAUCCCGAGGCUCAACCUCGGGCUUGCAGUGGGUACGGGCAGACUAGAGUGCGGUAGGGGAGAUUGGAAUUCCUGGUGUAGCGGUGGAAUGCGCAGAUAUCAGGAGGAACACCGAUGGCGAAGGCAGAUCUCUGGGCCGUAACUGACGCUGAGGAGCGAAAGCGUGGGGAGCGAACAGGAUUAGAUACCCUGGUAGUCCACGCCGUAAACGUUGGGCGCUAGAUGUAGGGACCUUUCCACGGUUUCUGUGUCGUAGCUAACGCAUUAAGCGCCCCGCCUGGGGAGUACGGCCGCAAGGCUAAAACUCAAAGGAAUUGACGGGGGCCCGCACAAGCGGCGGAGCAUGCGGAUUAAUUCGAUGCAACGCGAAGAACCUUACCAAGGCUUGACAUACACCGGAAACGGCCAGAGAUGGUUGCCCCCUUGUGGUCGGUGUACAGGUGGUGCAUGGUUGUCGUCAGCUCGUGUCGUGAGAUGUUGGGUUAAGUCCCGCAACGAGCGCAACCCUCGUUCUAUGUUGCCAGCGCGUUAUGGCGGGGACUCAUAGGAGACUGCCGGGGUCAACUCGGAGGAAGGUGGGGAUGACGUCAAAUCAUCAUGCCCCUUAUGUCUUGGGCUUCACGCAUGCUACAAUGGCCGGUACAAAGGGCUGCGAUACCGUAAGGUGGAGCGAAUCCCAAAAAGCCGGUCUCAGUUCGGAUUGAGGUCUGCAACUCGACCUCAUGAAGUCGGAGUCGCUAGUAAUCGCAGAUCAGCAACGCUGCGGUGAAUACGUUCCCGGGCCUUGUACACACCGCCCGUCAAGUCAUGAAAGUCGGUUUC